UUGAACGCUGGCGGCAUGCCUUACACAUGCAAGUCGCACGGUAACAGGUUAAGCUGACGAGUGGCGAACGGGUGAGUAAUGUAUCGGAACGUGCCCAGUCGUGGGGGAUAACUGCUCGAAAGAGCAGCUAAUACCGCAUACGACCUGAGGGUGAAAGCGGGGGAUCGCAAGACCUCGCGCGAUUGGAGCGGCCGAUAUCAGAUUAGGUAGUUGGUGAGGUAAAGGCUCACCAAGCCGACGAUCUGUAGCUGGUCUGAGAGGACGACCAGCCACACUGGGACUGAGACACGGCCCAGACUCCUACGGGAGGCAGCAGUGGGGAAUUUUGGACAAUGGGCGCAAGCCUGAUCCAGCCAUGCCGCGUGCGGGAAGAAGGCCUUCGGGUUGUAAACCGCUUUUGUCAGGGAAGAAAAGGUUCUGGCUAAUACCUGGGACUCAUGACGGUACCUGAAGAAUAAGCACCGGCUAACUACGUG
rnacentral:rRNA from 1 species